rnacentral:rRNA from 1 species
CCUACGGGAGGCAGCAGUGAGGAAUAUUGGGCAAUGGACGAGAGUCUGAACCAGCCAAGUAGCGUGAAGGAUGACUGCCCUAUGGGUUGUAAACUUCUUUUAUAUGGGAAUAAAAUGUUCCACGUGUGGGCUUUUGUAUGUGCCAUAUGAAUAGGGAUCGGCUAACUCCGUGCCAGCAGCCGCGGUAAUACGGAGGAUCCGAGCGUUAUCCGGAUUUGUUGGGUUUAAAGGGAGCGUAGGUGGAUUGGUAAGUCAGUUGUGAAAGUUUGCGGCUCAACCGUGAAAUUGCAGUUGAAACUGGUAGGCUUGAGUACCGUAGAGGUCGGCGGAAUGCGUGGUGUAGCGGUGAAAUGCUUAGAUAUUACGAAGAACUCCGAUUGCGAAGGCAGCUCACUGGACUGCAACUGACACUGAGGCGCGAAAGUGUGGGUAUCAAACAGGAUUAGAUACCCGGGUAGUC